CCUACGGGGGGCAGCAGUGGGGAAUUUUGGACAAUGGGGGAAACCCUGAUCCAGCCAUGCCGCGUGUGUGAAGAAGGCCUUCGGGUUGUAAAGCACUUUUGGGAACCGCCCGGUACCCGCAGAAUAAGCACCGGCUAACUACGUGCCAGCAGCCGCGGUAAUACGUAGGGUGCAAGCGUUAAUCGGAAUUACUGGGCGUAAAGCGUGCGCAGGCGGUUUCGUAAGACAGAUGUGAAAUCCCCGGGCUUAACCUGGGAACUGCAUUUGUGACUGCGAGGCUAGAGUGUGUCAGAGGGGGGUGGAAUUCCACGUGUAGCAGUGAAAUGCGUAGAUAUGUGGAGGAACACCGAUGGCGAAGGCAGCCCCCUGGGAUAAACUGACGCUCAUGCACGAAAGCGUGGGGAGCAAACAGGAUUAGAUACCCCAGUAGUC
rnacentral:rRNA from 1 species